GACGAACGCUGGCGGCGUGCUUAACACAUGCAAGUCGAACGGAAAGGCCCUGCUUUUGUGGGGUGCUCGAGUGGCGAACGGGUGAGUAACACGUGAGUAACCUGCCCUUGACUUUGGGAUAACUUCAGGAAACUGGGGCUAAUACCGGAUAGGAGCUCCUGCUGCAUGGUGGGGGUUGGAAAGUUUCGGCGGUUGGGGAUGGACUCGCGGCUUAUCAGCUUGUUGGUGGGGUAGUGGCUUACCAAGGCUUUGACGGGUAGCCGGCCUGAGAGGGUGACCGGCCACAUUGGGCCUGAGAUACGGCCCAGACUCCUACGGGAGGCAGCAGUGGGGAAUAUUGCACAAUGGGCGGAAGCCUGAUGCAGCAACGCCGCGUGCUGGAUGACGGCCUUCGGGUUGUAAACCGCUUUCGCCUGUGACGAAGCGUGAGUGACGGUAAUGGGUAAAGAAGCACCGGCUAACUACGUG
rnacentral:rRNA from 1 species